rnacentral:rRNA from 1 species
UUCGAUUGAGUUUGAUCCUGGCUCAGAUUGAACGCUGGCGGCAUGCCUAACACAUGCAAGUCGAACGGCAGCACAGCUUAAGCUUGCUUAAGUGGGUGGCGAGUGGCGGACGGGUGAGUAAUGCAUCGGGACCUACCUGAACGUGGGGGAUAACGUAGGGAAACUUACGCUAAUACCGCAUACGUCCUACGGGAGAAAGCGGGGGACCUUCGGGCCUCGCGCGGUCAGACGGACCGAUGUUCGAUUAGCUAGUUGGUAAGGUAAUGGCUUACCAAGGCGACGAUCGAUAGCUGGUCUGAGAGGAUGAUCAGCCACACUGGAACUGAGACACGGUCCAGACUCCUACGGGAGGCAGCAGUGGGGAAUAUUGGACAAUGGGCGCAAGCCUGAUCCAGC